rnacentral:tRNA from 1 species
UCCCUGGUAGCUCAGACGGUAAAGCGUCUGCCUACAAUGCGGGAGACCAGGGUUCGAUCCCUGGGUUGGGAA